rnacentral:rRNA from 1 species
GAGUUUGAUCAUGGCUCAGAGUGAACGCUGGCGGCAGGCCUAACACAUGCAAGUCGAACGGCAGCGCGGGGGAGCUUGCUCUUCUGGCGGCGAGUGGCGGACGGGUGAGGAAUGCAUCGGGAUCUGCCUAUUUGUGGGGGAUAACCUCGGGAAACCGGGACUAAUACCGCAUACGACCUACGGGUGAAAGUGGGGGCUCGCAAGACCUCACGCAGAUAGAUGAACCGAUGUCGGAUUAGCUAGUUGGCGGGGUAAAGGCCCACCAAGGCGACGAUCCGUAGCUGGUCUGAGAGGAUGAUCAGCCACACUGGAACUGAGACACGGUCCAGACUCCUACGGGAGGCAGCAGUGGGGAAUAUUGGACAAUGGGCGCAAGCCUGAUCCAGCCAUGCCGCGUGGGUGAAGAAGGCCUUCGGGUUGUAAAGCCCUUUUGUUGGGGAAGAAAGCCUUUUCGGUGAAUAUUCCGGGAGGGA